rnacentral:rRNA from 1 species
AUCGCUAGUAAUCGCGGAUCAGCAUGCCGCGGUGAAUACGUUCCCGGGCCUUGUACACACCGCCCGUCACACCACGAGAGUUUGUAACACCCGAAGUCGGUGAGGUAACCUUCAUGGAGCCAGCCGCCUAAGGUGGGACAGAUGAUUGGGGUGAAGUCGUAACAAGGUAGCCGUAUCGGAAUGUGCGGCUGGAUCACCUCCUUUCUAAGGA